rnacentral:rRNA from 1 species
AGAAUCUGCCAAAAGGACUGGGACAACAGCUGGAAACGGCUGCUAAUACCGGAUAUGCCAGAAAGUGAAAUGGGUAAAACCGCCUUUUGAUGAGCUCGCGUCCGAUUAGCUAGUUGGUGGGGUAAAAGCCUACCAAGGCGACGAUCGGUAACUGGUCUGAGAGGAUGACCAGUCACACUGGGACUGAGACACGGCCCAGACUCCUACGGGAGGCAGCAGUGGGGAAUUUUCCGCAAUGGGCGAAAGCCUGACGGAGCAAUACCGCGUGAGGGAGGAAGGCUCUUGGGUUGUAAACCUCUUUUCUCAGGGAAGAACACAAUGACGGUACCUGAGGAAUCAGCAUCGGCUAACUCCGUGCCAGCAGCCGCGGUAAUACGGAGGAUGCAAGCGUUAUCCGGAAUGAUUGGGCGUAAAGCGUCCGCAGGUGGCUUUGCAAGUCUGCUGUCAAAGCUCAGGGCUUAACCCUGAAUCGGCGGUGGAAACUGAAAGGCUAGAGUGUGGUAGGGGCAGAGGGAAUUCCCAGUGUAGCGGUGAAAUGCGUAGAGAUUGGGAAGAACACCAGUGGCGAAAGCGCUCUGCUAGACCGCAACUGACACUCAUGGACGAAAGCUAGGGGAGCGAAUGGGAUUAGAUACCCCAGUAGUC